ensembl:snRNA U6 U6 spliceosomal RNA
UUAAUUUGCCAGUAUAUAUUCUAAAAUUGGAUAAGGUAAGAUUAGCAUGGUCCCUGCACAAGAAUCACACACAAAUUAGUGAAGUGCUCUGUAUUGGA